rnacentral:tRNA from 1 species
UGGUAAUUAGUUUAAACUAAAACAAAUGAUUUCGACUCAUUUAACUAUGGUCCACCCAUAAUUACUAA